UCUGUUUCCCAGCUGCCCUUGCUGAAGGCACUGAUUGACAGGCUGCUGCAGGACGGCAUGGAGGAGCUUCUGCUGGAGCUAACCACCUCUAGGAGAGUCAAUGAGAAGGAGAAACACGGCUCCAACAUUAUCACUGACUACACAAGAACUGUAAAGUAUGAGAUGUCCAAGGAACCUCUGACAGAGAUGGACACCAUAGAGGAGGCAGUUGAUUCUGACCUAGACAGACAGCUACCAGAACCUAACUCUGAUGCUUUGGAUGAAACGGCGGAGGGCCCCACAUUCUGGAGCCUCACCACUCUUAAUGGUCUUAAUGGGGUCCAAGACGUGGGGAGGAUAGAGAGCACCUCUGAGGGGACACUGACAGUGGACGAGGACUUCAGUGAAGCUCCCUCGCCCAAGUUGACUUUAUCAAACUCAACAUUUAACAACACUACGUCUGAAGAGAGGGUCUCUGAGGUACCAGGGGCAAUAGUAGAAACUGUUCUCCUCAGUGGGGAAGACUCCUUGAAGAAAAAGAAGAGUCGAGAACGGAAGGGCAAGGGACAGAAAGGACGACAUAAGAGGCAAAGAGAACGUCUGACGAGUACGGAGGAGGAGGAGGAAGCGGAGGAGGAAGCGGAGGAGGAGGAAUUAUACGAUGGGGAAGAGUACAGUUAUGAAUAUGAGGAUUCCACAGAUGAUCCUUUAUUGUCAAUGGAAAAGCAAGGGGAGUUUCAAAUCACAACAGAAAGCACACUACAUGGAAUGAGCAAAGAGAGUGGCCUGACAACUUUAGGUCCAUAUCCAUCCCAGUCACCGGGUGACAGUGAAAAGCAGGGGGAAUUCAUCACACCUAUCCUUCCCAGCACAACGGAAGAAACAGAGAAGGACCUUUCCUUAAUCCACAAAGAUUGAGACUGUAGAUUUGUAAGCACGGAGUGUUUGUAUAUACUGUGAAGUGAAGUGUAUUGCUGGUGAGGAGCAGUCUACCCUUAACCUGACCAGCAUAACAUGAGGAGGGACUUCGCUUCGUCGCACAAUGAUGAUGUCAUUUGUCCAAUGUCACUCGUUCAAUUGCCACGUCUAUGACCAGAAUCUUUUCUUAUACUUAGUACAAGUACCUAAAAGAUGAACAAUACAUAGGUAAAGCUAAGUUAAAUCAAGACAGUGUAUUAUAUAACGAUUAUUGGACAAAUACAUUCUUCCAUCAGAUGUCAGUGUUAUUUUAGCGUUGACUUUGCAUAAACUAAUUUAUUUAUUAAAGAAGUUCAAAAUGUUACGUUGGACCUAAGCUAUAGUAUAGCUUCUCUCUGUCGCUUCAGUAUUCCAACACUUUUACCUCCUCGUAAUUUGUUCAACCAUAUUCUAAUGUUUUCAGUGUAUCGCUGCUUAUCAAUUCCUCAACCAAACGUUAUUUAUUGAAAACAUGGAAAUAGAUUGUAUUUUGUUCCUUUUCUGUAUUAGUUACUACUUUUUCCAAUGAAAUGUGUUUCCAUCAUAUUCUUCAGAAUGUAUAGUAUUGAAACCUGUUUUCACUGGUGAAAUUUUGGCAAUCUAAAGUUCUCCCUUUGUAUUUAACCUCUCU
ensembl:lncRNA